UACGGAGGGUGCGAGCGUUGUCCGGAAUCAUUGGGCGUAAAGGGCGCGUAGGCGGCCCGCUAAGUCGAACGUGAAAUCCCCGGGCUCAACCCGGGAACUGCGUCCGAUACUGGUGGGCUCGAAUCCGGGAGAGGGAUGCGGAAUUCCAGGUGUAGCGGUGAAAUGCGUAGAGAUGUGGAGGAACACCGAUGGCGAAGGCAGCCUCCUGGGCCAGCACUGACGCUCAUGCACGAAAGCGUGGGGAGCAAACAGG
rnacentral:rRNA from 1 species